rnacentral:rRNA from 1 species
AUUGCCUCAGUAACGGCGAGUGAAGCGGCACAAGCUCAGAUUUGAAAUCUGGUGUCAUCUUGACAUCCGAGUUGUAAUCUGUAGAGGAGUUUUUAGGAGUAUUGCUUUGGUUAAAGUUCCUUGGGAAAGGGCAUCAUAGAGGGUGAGAAUCCUGUUUAUGACCUUUGCACAUCUCUAUUAUAAAUCUCCUUCAAUGAGUCGAGUUGUUUGGGAAUGCAGCUCUAAAUGGGUGGUAAAUUCCAUCUAAAGCUAAAUAUUGGCAAGAGACCGAUAGCGCACAAGUAGAGUGAUCGAAAGAUGAAAAGAACUCUGAACAGAGAGUUAAAAAGUACGUGAAAUUGUUGAAAGGGAAGCACUUGUGACCAGACAAAGUUGCAAUUGAUCAACCAUUAAUUUUGGUGGUGCACUCAAUUGCCAGCGGGUUAGCAUCAGUUAUAGUAGCAGGACAAAGACCAAAAGAAUGUAGCUCCUCUUUGAGGAGUGUUAUAGCUUUUAGUUCAAUACUGUUCAUUAUUACUGAGGACAGCACUUUUAAG